GACGAACGCUGGCGGCGUGCUUAACACAUGCAAGUCGAACGGAAAGGCCCUGCUUUUGUGGGGUGCUCGAGUGGCGAACGGGUGAGUAACACGUGAGUAACCUGCCCUUGACUUUGGGAUAACUUCAGGAAACUGGGGCUAAUACCGGAUAGGAGCUCCUGCUGCAUGGUGGGGGUUGGAAAGUUUCGGCGGUUGGGGAUGGACUCGCGGCUUAUCAGCUUGGUGGUGGGGUAGUGGCUUACCAAGGCUUUGACGGGUAGCCGGCCUGAGAGGGUGACCGGCCACAUUGGGACUGAGAUACGGCCCAGACUCCUACGGGAGGCAGCAGUGGGGAAUAUUGCACAAUGGGCGGAAGCCUGAUGCAGCAACGCCGCGUGCGGGAUGACGGCCUUCGGGUUGUAAACCGCUUUCGCCUGUGACGAAGUGUGAGUGACGGUAAUGGGUAAAGAAGCACCGGCUAACUACGUG
rnacentral:rRNA from 1 species